rnacentral:rRNA from 1 species
UUUUUACAAUGGAGAGUUUGAUCCUGGCUCAGGAUGAACGCUAGCGGCAGGCCUAACACAUGCAAGUCG